rnacentral:ncRNA from 2 species
AGCUCAUCCAGAGGGACUGAGGGAACGGCCCGUUGACGUCCCGGCAACCUUCUCGCCCGGCGGUCACAGGCCCCGGCGGGACAGGUGCCAAUUCCGGCCUGUGACGCAGCCGCGUCACGGGGAAGAUGAGGA